rnacentral:misc_RNA from 1 species
AUGGAAUUUGAAUUUCUGCCAGUUGCAUUUGCUUUCCAAGAGGAAAAAGUCCCAGAAGGAUCUGUCUGAUACAAUGAUGGAGAACCAGUGUAAGGAUCAAAGCCAAUAAUCAAAGUGGAAAGUCCAAAUGGCCUCACUCCACCACUCUGUGUGUACUUCUGCUGAAGCCCUGCAAUAUAUCGCGUUAUGUACUCAACAGUCACUGGAUCCUCAACCGUAAGCCUAUGGCUUUGACAUUCAACACGAGCCCUGUUUAUCAGAACUCGUGCAUCUGCUUUGAGUCCAGCACAAGCAAGUGCAAUAUGAUCAUCGAGAUUCACAAUUUUCCGAACCGAUCUGGAGUCUUGGAGCUUAGGGGUGGAUUUCUUCUCGACGCCGAGAACGAUGGUGUCGGAACCGCGAACGCCGACGGCGGCGUUGCCCUUACGGACGGCCUCGAG